AUUGAACGCUGGCGGCAGGCCUAACACAUGCAAGUCGAGCGGAGCGGCGGACGGGUGAGUAAUGUAUGGGGAUCUGCCCGUUAGAGGGGGAUAACUACUGGAAACGGUAGCUAAUCCCGCAUACUAUUGGAGCUGCCGCUUUCGGAUUAGCUAGUUGGGGGGGUAAAGGCCCACAAAGGCAACGAUCCGUAGCUGGUUUGAGAGGACGACCAGCCACACUGGGACUGAGACACGGCCCAGACUCCUACGGGAGGCAGCAGUGGGGAAUUUUGGACAAUGGGGGAAACCCUGAUCCAGCCAUCCCGCGUGUAUGAUGAAGGCCUUCGGGUUGUAAAGUACUUUUGGCAGAGAAGCGGUAUCUGCAGAAUAAGCACCGGCUAACUACGUGCCAGCAGCCGCGGUAAUAC
rnacentral:rRNA from 1 species